GCCAGUGUGGCGUAGCGGUUUGAGCAUUGGACUAUGAUUCUGGAGAUCAGGGUUCGAGUCUCAGCUUGGUCA